rnacentral:rRNA from 1 species
GAUGAACGCUAGCUACAGGCUUAACACAUGCAAGUCGAGGGGAAACGACAUUGAAAGCUUGCUUUUAAUGGGCGUCGACCGGCGCACGGGUGCGUAACGCGUAUCGAACCUGCCCUUUACUCAGGGAUAGCCUUGCGAAAGUAAGAUUAAUACCUGAUAGUGUUGUGAUGAGGCAUCUUGUUGCAACUAAAGAUUUAUUGGUAAAGGAUGGCGAUGCGUCUGAUUAGGUAGUAGGCGGGGUAAUGGCCCACCUAGCCUUCGAUCAGUAGGGGUUCUGAGAGGAAGGUCCCCCACAUUGGAACUGAGACACGGUCCAAACUCCUACGGGAGGCAGCAGUGAGGAAUAUUGGUCAAUGGACGAGAGUCUGAACCAGCCAAGUAGCGUGCAGGAUGACGGCCCUCUGGGUUGUAAACUGCUUUUAGUUGGGAACAAAAAAGGCGACGUGUCGCCUCUGGAGUGUACCAUCAGAAAAAGGACCGGCUAAUUCCGUGCCAGCAGCCGCGGUAAUACGGAAGGUCCAGGCGUUAUCCGGAUUUAUUGGGUUUAAAGGGAGCGUAGGCGGACGAUUAAGUCAGCUGUGAAAGUUUGCGGCUCAACCGUAAAAUUGCAGUUGAAACUGGUUGUCUUGAGUGCACGCAGGGAUGUUGGAAUUCAUGGUGUAGCGGUGAAAUGCUUAGAUAUCAUGAAGAACUCCGAUCGCGAAGGCAUAUGUCUGGAGUGCAACUGACGCUGAGGCUCGAAAGUGCGGGUAUCGAACAGG